AGGGUAGCUCCGCCAGUGAGUGGUAGUACUGGUGUAAGCGUGUAGGCCGACGUGCAGGCAAAUCCGCACGUCAUUCAGGUUGAGACGUGAUGCAUAGCCGAUUGAGGCGAAGUAGAGUGAUCCCAUGCUGCCGAGAAAAGCCUCUAGUGAGUGUUCAUGCGGCCCGUACCCCAAACCGACACAGGUGGUCAGGUAGAGAAUACCAAGGCGCUUGAGAGAACUCGGGUGAAGGAACUAGGCAAAAUGGCACCGUAACUUCGGGAGAAGGUGCACCGCUUUUGGUGAU
rnacentral:rRNA from 1 species